rnacentral:rRNA from 1 species
ACGCUCGACACCUACGGGAGUCAGCAGUAGGGAAUCUUCCACAAUGGACGCAAGUCUGAUGGAGCAACGCCGCGUGAGUGAAGAAGGUCUUCGGAUCGUAAAACUCUGUUGUUAGAGAAGAACACGAGUGAGAGUAACUGUUCAUUCGAUGACGGUAUCUAACCAGCAAGUCACGGCUAACUACGUACCAGCAGCCGCGGUAAUCUGAGCGGGCUGGCAAGGC